UACAGAGGUCCCGAGCGUUGUUCGGAUUCACUGGGCGUAAAGGGUGCGUAGGUGGUGAGGUAAGUCGGAUGUGAAAUCUCCAAGCUCAACUUGGAAAUGGCAUUGGAAACUACCUUGCUGGAGGUUUGGAGGGGGGACUGGAAUUCUCGGUGUAGCAGUGAAAUGCGUAGAUAUCGAGAGGAACACCUGCGGCGAAGGCGGGUUGCUGGGCUGAUACUGACGCUGAUGCGCGAAAGCCAGGGGAGCGAACGGG
rnacentral:rRNA from 1 species